CUAUUUCGCCCAACCCAUAUUAGACUGUGUUAUAAAGACAUGGUAAAUUACAUCACGAAGGGAAGAGCAGAGGAAACAUAAUAUUCCUUCAAGACCCAUCAGCUCAGAUGUUAGCAGAACACUCCUAAGGAGGAAAACAAGAAAUUUUGGGUUUGAACUUGGUACUUCCCAGCAGCCCUGGGAGUGGGGUCAGAAGCCCUGCUGGUGGGGGCGAAGAACUCUGAGGAUCAAAGAUGUUGAUCAUCACCAGGAAGCUCACUGCAGCAAUAAUCAUGAUGCACUGAGCCUGACAAGGUGAGAAUUUACUUUCAGCACCUGCAAUAGUUUCCUAUUAAAGUUACAUAUGAAGCCCUGCCGUCUUGUGCCAACUAAUGUUCACACCAGCGUUCCUAUUUUCAAGAUAAAUUGCAAAAUAAAAACUUUUUUUUUUAGCAAAAGAAAACUUCUUUAGGAGGAUAAAAGGGAGAUGAAGAAACAGAAAACACAUCAGCUCUCCAUCUAAAUUACAGAAAGCAGAAAAUAUCCUGAAUUGAAUAACACAGGAAUCACUCUUUUUCCCCCCUGAGAUAAGAGGUUACUUAUGAGAAACAAGCUUGAAAUCUCUGCACCUGAACCAGCUUCCAGAGGCUUUUGUCCUAACCAGAUAUUUACUGAAGAACUAGAAGAUGCUAGAUGUUAUUCUAUUCAUUUUAUACCACUCUUCAAAUUACCGAUGUUUCCCCACCGAAACCGACCCUCACAAAAGAAAAACUAUCUGGGGCCUUGGAUCCUCUUUCAAAGGCUCAAGCUGGAUUUGGGGAAGUAAAGGAAACCAGGUAAGAAGGGGCUGAAAGAAUUGGUUUCCACCGUGACCUUUGAACCCUCGGGCGAGUUGUCAACCUCACUGAGGAUGAGUGUCCUCGAUAUCAAACGAGGUCACUUUACUCGCAAGCUUGUUGUGAGGACUGAAUGAAACCUUUUCUUUUUUCUUGGAGUUUCAGAGCAACGUCCCUGAGCCGAGCCCCACACCAGCUUGAGCCCUAUCGUCGGUCAAUACACGGUGCUUUCUCCCCUCCCCUCUGCACUCCAGCUUACUCUGCAGUCAGGAGGUGGCACCAGGAUCCCCUUUAAGACUUUGCCACUUGGGCCAGCUGUGCCUCUGUGAAAUUCCCUGUUUAUAUUGCAGGCCACAAGGACGAGCUGAGAAAUGGCUUCCAGUCACCAUCUAGAUUAGAAAGCCUAUAUUUCAAAUAUAGAGAUAUCAAUUAUACCUGUGAAAAGACAUUAAAUCCCACAGGGCUGUAAUUCCUAGACUACAAAUUUCAUCUUGCACCAAAUUUUAUUAUUUCAUUUAUAAUUCGAAUUCUGCAAAUCUAAGAGUGUCUGGCUCAAAAUUAUAAUACCUACAACUA
rnacentral:lncRNA from 1 species